rnacentral:rRNA from 1 species
GACGUAGGUGGCGACCGUUAUCCGGAAUUAUUGGGCGUAAAGGGUGCGUAGGCGGCAUGAUAAGUUAUUGGCGGUAAAUCGAGGCUCAACCCCGUGGAAACUGAUAAUACUGUUUUGCUUGAGUACAGGAGAGGUUAACGGAACUCCAUGUGGAGCGGUAAAAUGUGUAGAUAUAUGGAAGAACAUCAAUAACGGCGAAGGCAGUUAACUAUUCUGUCACUGACGUUGAGGCACGAAAGCGUGGGGAGCAAAAAGG